GCAAGUCGAGGGGCAGCACAGGUAGCAAUACUGGGUGGCGACCGGCAAACGGGUGCGGAACACGUACGCAACCUUCCUUUAAGUGGAGAAUAGCCCAGGGAAACUUGGAUUAAUACUCCGUAAGACAAUGGAGUGGCAUCACUCAGUUGUUAAAGUUACGACGCUUAAAGAUGGGCGUGCGGCUGAUUAGGUAGUUGGCGGAGUAACAGCCCACCAAGCCAACGAUCAGUAACUGGUGUGAGAGCACGACCAGUCACACGGGCACUGAGACACGGGCCCGACUCCUACGGGAGGCAGCAGUAAGGAAUAUUGGUCAAUGGACGCAAGUCUGAACCAGCCAUGCCGCGUGGAGGAUGAAGGCCCUCUGGGUUGUAAACUUCUUUUAUUUGGGAAGAAACCCAUCUUUUCUAAGGUGGUUGACGGUACCAGAUGAAUAAGCACCGGCUAACUCCGUGCCAGCAGCCGCGGUAAUACGGAGGGUGCAAGCGUUAUCCGGAUUCACUGGGUUUAAAGGGUGCGUA
rnacentral:rRNA from 1 species